GGCCAUUUAGCUCAGUGGGUUGAGCGCGGUGCUGAGAACACCGAGGUCGCGGGCUCGAUUCCCAUCCA
rnacentral:tRNA from 1 species